rnacentral:rRNA from 1 species
GACGAACGCUGGCGGCGUGCUUAACACAUGCAAGUCGAACGGAAAGGCCCUGCUUUUGUGGGGUGCUCGAGUGGCGAACGGGUGAGUAACACGUGAGUAACCUGCCCUUGACUUUGGGAUAACUUCAGGAAACUGGGGCUAAUACCGGAUAGGAGCUCCUGCUGCAUGGUGGGGGUUGGAAAGUUUCGGCGGUUGGGGAUGGACUCGCGGCUUAUCAGCUUGUUGGUGGGGUAGUGGCUUACCAAGGCUUUGACGGGUAGCCGGCCUGAGAGGGUGACCGGACACAUUGGGACUGAGAUACGCCCCAGACUCCUACGGGAGGCAGCAGUGGGGAAUAUUGCACAAUGGGCGGAAGCCUGAUGCAGCAACGCCGCGUGCGGGAUGACGGCCUUCGGGUUGUAAACCGCUUUCGCCUGUGACGAAGCGUGAGUGACGGUAAUGGGUAAAGAAGCGCCGGCUAACUACGUG